AUUGAACGCUGGCGGCAUGCCUUACACAUGCAAGUCGAACGGCAGCACGGGUGCUUGCACCUGGUGGCGAGUGGCGAACGGGUGAGUAAUACAUCGGAACAUGUCCUGUAGUGGGGGAUAGCCCGGCGAAAGCCGGAUUAAUACCGCAUACGAUCUACGGAUGAAAGUGGGGGACCUUCGGGCCUCGCGCUAUAGGGUUGGCCGAUGGCUGAUUAGCUAGUUGGUGGGGUAAAGGCCUACCAAGGCGACGAUCAGUAGCUGGUCUGAGAGGACGACCAGCCACACUGGGACUGAGACACGGCCCAGACUCCUACGGGAGGCAGCAGUGGGGAAUUUUGGACAAUGGGCGAAAGCCUGAUCCAGCAAUGCCGCGUGUGUGAAGAAGGCCUUCGGGUUGUAAAGCACUUUUGUCCGGAAAGAAAUCCUUGGCUCUAAUACAGUCGGGGGAUGACGGUACCGGAAGAAUAAGCACCGGCUAACUACGUG
rnacentral:rRNA from 1 species